rnacentral:ncRNA from 1 species
CAAAGAUAAAAACACAGCUCCGGUUGGUAGUCCGGACGCGGCUUAUGCCGUCAGUAACCUGCCUCCUUGGUUGUCCCUUCUUUGCCGUUU